rnacentral:lncRNA from 1 species
UAGGGAGCGCCACCUCCCGUAAUGAGACCCUACUCAGCACGAUUCCAAAUAUAAUCGAACUCCAAUAAAAAUACCAAACACCAGGUGAGAAACUAAAAAAAAUUAAAAGCCAACGGCAAAAGAAAGCAAAGCAAUAACAACAAGAAAAUAGGAAUUCCCGACUACACACUUUAAGAAUAUGCAUUGUCCUUAAUGCAAUGCAAAAAGAACAAGUGCAGAAAAUAAACUCUUGAGGCUCAGAACCUAGUCAUCAGCGCCACCAAUAGUACUGGACAACUACUCAUCAUCUGGAACAGAGUUCACAUGCUCAUCAGGCUCCUAAUUUGCAUAGAAUGCUUUUACCAUACUGAUGUUUGCAUAGCC